UUUAAACAGCAGGUGAUCAAAUUUAGUGCAUGUUAGUUUGUCAAAGCUGCAUUUUCAAGUUGUAACAGAUUGGUGCCUUAGACUAUGGGAUGGACAUGGACAGAAGAAAAAUCUGAUGGUGAAUAUAAGAAAAGCUGUGAAAAAAGAAAUGGAGAGGAGUGUGGGGAUGGUUAAUUCACAGAGAAGGGAAGCCGGCCUUGCCUGGAGUCAGCAGCCAGGAGUCCAGCAUUCACAUUCUCCCCAGAAGGAACAAAAGGCCACAUGUGCCCUGUUUUGCAGAUGUGCCUUCCCCACGCCUCCAUGGGGGCCUUUGGCCCAGUUCUCAUUGGCAGUGUCACUUCCUGAUACUCAUUUUCCAGAAGCCUCCCAGGUGAUUAGCCAUCAUAUGUCUCCAAGAAAGGAAGUGUUCGGCACAUAAUCUGCCAAUGAUUGCUGAUGACAACACAAGUGUCAGACACUGUGUUAGCAAUGACAAGGACAUGGUCUCUGCCUUCUAGUACGUGAGGAGUCUGGCCUUGAGCCUCACCCUGAGGCUGCAGUGUACUCAAAGUUGUAACAGACCAGGACAGAGGGCUGAGGGUACAGGAGAAAGGGUGCCCAGCCUUGAAGAGUCAGGAGAGACAUCAGUACAGUUAAUACAGGCUCCAUGGAGUGGGGAGGAACAGGAGGGACAGACAGCAGCAGGAAACUCAUCUGGAAAGGUGUGCAAGGGUCAGAGCACAGGCUAGUGGAGAGAGCCAGGAAAAGGCAUGUGGGCCUUGAAAGCAGACGGACCCAGCUCAUCUAAUGACUGGCUGUAAAACCUUAGGCAAAUUACAUCAUUUCUGAAGCUUCAGAGCUUCUUAUAUGUGGAUUGGGAGAAACUAGUUACUCACAAUUCUUCCUUCCCACCCCACCUUUCCCAAGGCCCACUGUAGGCAGAGAAUGCUCCCUAUGCUGUUGCUGAUGGGCUUGGCCCUAUGCCUCAUCUCAGCCAUUGGAAUAUGGGUGGGAGUAAGAUGGGGCAGCUCCAAGCCAAGGCCUUAAGAGCCACCACUUUCUUCCUUCUAGCCCCACUGUGCCUCUGUAUCUGCCAUGAGAAGGGCAUGCCUGGGAGCUGCUGGUCCAAGAACAAGGAGUCAGAGAACAGCCCUGAAAUCAACCCACAGCCUGAUGCAGAGUGGCCCCAACCCACAGACCUAGUUGCAUAAAAGGUUUGGUGGGAAGGAAACUCGAUUCAACAAAGUCAAACAUACCUGAGUGCCUACGAUGCACACGGCGCUGGCCUGGGCAGGACAGUACAGAGGGGUGAGCUAUAGCCGGGGCAGACAGCAACCAACAUCAGCAGGAACAGAGGCUGGCGCCUGUCCCAACACCCGGCGACCCUCAGGCCUUCAGCUGCCGGCUGCAGGUUAGUCCGUGAUCCCUGCAGUGGAGUGGGAGGCAGGGCUUCGAACCCAAGCCCUGUCCCCCUCCAUCAGCCCCACCCAUUUCCUUCACAUUGAAGUGUUCUGCCUCUGCUGCCUGUCCCCAUCCUACCCCAGCGCAGGCACUGGGAAGCACUUCUCCAUUCACAACGCCCCUUCACAAAGAGGUCUCGGUGGAACCUUACAAUAGGACGCACACAAAGUCCACUUGACCGGAAAACCGAGGCCAGACCACACCGUCAGUGCCAAACACCGUCAGGCCAGACACCGUCAGUGCCAAAGCCAGGCCUAGAACCCACGUCUCUGCCUGUUGGUUCCGGGCUAUUUCUGCUAGUCAUUCACAACAGUUUCUAAAAUUAAUAAGAAAUGAUAAGUAUGCGAAAGUCCAUACAUGGAAACGUUCCCGUGAGAUGCAAAAAGAACAAGGCACAAACGAGCUGACACGGCCAGGUUCGUAGUGUCCGUGUUUGUUCCGCUCCCCACCGGCCCCUGGGCCCCUCCAGGGCAGGGGCAUGGCCGUAUUGACGCCUGUGACCCCGGGCACCUGGCGCGGUGCUGGCACCAACAUCCCGAAAUGCGCCAGCCUGGGCACCUCAGGGCCCGGCUCCAAGACCCGGCCCGUGCGACCCCUGGGGCGCCCCCCUAGUCUGGCC
rnacentral:lncRNA from 1 species